AGAUGGCCGCUCCCCAACUGCCAACUGUCUCUGAAGACGGCUGUAACUACCACAGCACAAGCCGUCUCUCUCUCUCUCUGGGAUCAAUACGCCUGUUUCUUACUGGUCAGUGUCACUGUGUCGGACGCAGCACUCAGGUCACAGUUAACCCUAUCCAUGCUGUAACUUUAAUAGUGUCCAGCCAGGAAUGCAUUCAGCAGGGGAAGGGGCACAAAAGUCACACUAUAGUUCAUGGCAGCACUGAUGGGGUGCCACAAAUGACCACAGUAGUAGUACUCUUUACACAUAAUGCCCACAGUAAUAGUGCUCCCUACACAUAUUGUGUAUAGUAUUAGCAUCCCUUUUACAGAUAAUGCCAAGAGUAGUAGUGUCCAUUAUACACAUAAUGCCAACAGUAGUAGUGCUCCUAAUACACAUAAUGCCAAGAGUAGUAGUGCCCAUUAUACACAUAAUGCCAACAGUAGUUGUGCCCCUAAUACACAUAAUGCCAAGAGUAGUAGUGCCCAUUAUACACAUAAUGCCAACAGUAGUUGUGCCCCUAAUACACAUAAUGCCAAGAGAAGUAGUGCCCAUUAGUGUGGUUCUGAAGACUGAAGAGCCUGCUUCUGCUUCCUGUCUGUCAUACAAGUGCAGCGGGGUGGAGAGAGGAGGCAGAUACCUUACUCUGGAGUAAGGCGUCACAGUGCUCUGCAGCGCCAACCAGUGGUGAAAAGAGGAAAUACAGAAAACAGAGACAAAGGUUGACAAACUAAAGGCAAGCAAGUAAACAAAAGGCAGAGCAGCCCACCGUAAGAGACAUCUUCCAGUCUCACUAUUAUUCCAAAGCCUCGUUUACGUGCAGAGUUAUUCCAUUUUUAGAAAAUAAAAUUAGAUUUCAGA